rnacentral:rRNA from 1 species
AUGGUGGCCAUCAUAGCCGGUUAUCCGGGGCUACUCCCAGCAUCGCAUGGAAGGCCCUUGGGACGCCAUGCCGAACCCACAGUGACUCACCAACAAGGGGCGCCGAAGCCGGGUGGGCUUAAAAGGAAGGUGGUCAGGACUGAGACGCCGUCGCAGAGGAAAAACGCUCGCCGGACUAUAUCCAGAGAGGUUGCCGGUCACGCCUCCACCAGUCGGGCUCCAGAGCCGGACUUAGAGGCGGACGCUAAUAUGGGGCCAACGUCGGAUGUUCCUCCUACAGAGGAUGCAGAUAGGAUAUCCGCUACAAAUUCCGAAGUGGAGAGCGCCAUGAAUCACAGGCGUCCCCGGGCCGUACUCCGUGACGCUUGUUUCUCCCAAGAGGCGUUUCGUGCCUUCAACUCAGGAGACGCGUACAUCCGAGCUGCUCAAAAUGGUCUUGCCAGAGCCACGGACCAGUAUGUAAAGGACAUACGGGUUCUUACGGAGAAGAAUACCCGGUUGUCUCAAGAGCUGGAGGAGUGCAAAGCCCAGCUUCAGGCCGCGGUUACUGCGGUGAAGGAGUCCGAGAAGGCCCCAUCUGAUGACUCCGGAGUGAAUCCGGAGGUCGUGCGAGGGGAUGAGCAACAUGCUAACCGACAGCUAAAGGCUGGCGAGCGCGUGCUUACACGGGUUAGGCGGGAGAAAAACGAGCUCCAAGACGCCAAUACCCGGCUGGGCGUUGAACUGAAAGAUGUUCGAGCCCAGCUUGCUGACUCCGUAAAGGAGAAUAAGAGGCUUCGACGCGGCAUUUUUAGUAAGUGCUUGAACGAACUUUUAAAGAGUUCGGCGAAGAAACCGGCUGACAGAGUUAUAUCUGUAGGUAUGCUGACGGGUCGUCCCGCAGAGGAGAUGCCCGGGUCUACAGGCGAUCUUCUGCCAGAGCUCUCACAACUGCACGAACAAGUACGGCAGGUGAUGCAGGGCGUUGCCCAGGCCUUGUGGCCAUCCGCCUCCCUGCCAGGAGGCAUGAGUGGAAGAUAUCAGCCUGCUGACAAGGUGCAAGGGAAGCCUGGGCCAUGGUGA